GGUCUCAUGGCGUUACACGCACAGGGAACCUCCAUUCCACUCCCUUCUGACGGCCGCCUAGUGGUAACCCUACUCCUCCCCUCCCUCCUCUUCACCACCAAGGCACCAACAGGGGGCGGAGAUCCAACAAGCGACGGUGGCGGCGCUCCAAGCUCUGCAGGAAUAGGAUUAAGGGUACAUGAGAAGAAUUCGUCAAACACGCUCUCCGCCUGAUGUAAAUACUACUUCUAGGCAAGCUUCUGGAUGACAUCGGUUCAUGAUUCAACAAGCAUACCAAGCUUCUAAAAGACCCAGAAGUUCGCGUCCAAGCUUGACGACCAGGUGGACAUGUCAUAGGUGCAGAUGGGCUUGGUCAAGCCGUGAAAUCAACUUCAUUUAUGGACCGACGUAAAGCAUGCCGUUUGACACGGUCGGCCUCGCGAACCAACCUACACAUGCUGUUUGACACCGUUGGCCUCGCCGUACUCAGCCAGGUUGCCAUGGAAAGGCGUCACGCGUCAGGAGUUCCAUAUGAACUGCUUGACUGUGAGUGUGGGCAUUGGUACCUCAGAGAAGGGCUCCACUCUUUCAGAGCUAAGUAUUUUUUACCUACAAAAAGAUCCAUGUCUGCACUACUAUAUAUUUGGUUUAACUCAUAUUGCAAGUAUGCAUCUAUAUAUGUUCCCAAACGAGUGAACCCCUUCCAAUGUCAAGAUUACGCAUGUCUUUCACAUUGCCGCUUCCCAUUGCCCAUUGGUAUCUGCCUCGGAUGGCUUCACCAUUGCCAAAGCUAUUGUAGUCGUGCACAACAUACUUCACUCAACUCUUCGUAGCUUUUUGGAAUUUUAAUGAAAACCGAUGUCACUAUUUGAGCAUUGAGAGCAAUGUUUUAAAUAGCGGGCUAUGGAAAAUAGCGACGGGCCUGUAAAUCAGUUAUAGCGGAGCUAUAGCGGGCUAAAGCGGACUAUUUGUGAAGGCGACCAUUUAGCGGCACCUUGCUGAAAAGGCUAUAGCGGGCUAUAGCGGAGCUAUAGCCGGCUAUUUAAAACUAUGAUUAGAGAGUGAUGUUAUUUUCUUCCUAUGUUGUACAAGCCAGAAACGUUUGGUGAAAGGAAACACCAUCAUGGUCUUUUAUAGAGCUACAAAUGAAUCUUUACCAAUGUUUUUCUGUAGGCAAUUGUUUGCUCUGCUUGAAACUGUAAGGUCAGUAUUUUGAUUUGUUUUUUUCUUCUUAACUGCAGAUUUGUCACGAACUAUUACAUACAUAGAUUGUGUUACUGCUAAUUUCUCUGACAUUUUAAUAAAUAAAAAUAAAAAUAAUGAUUAUCUGAAAGUGCCUUUAAUUAAUUAAAAACUUCUCCUUCAAUGCGAUAUACAAAACUUCAUCUGAACCAUCAUUGCUAUCAUGAUUCAGAGUUUUGCUACACAUUCAGGGUACUGAGAACGCUCUAAUUGCUAGGCAUGUUGUGUAACUGUAAUAAUUAUCAAUAAUAAGGUCUUACAUAUUUUGUACUGUUAAGGUCCUUCGAUCGGUAUAUUGUGCGUCAAAGGUCCUGUUCAUCUGUAACAAAUUCUGCUUCAGCCUCAGUCGUAUGUGUUCUUCAAUCUAUUUUCAUGUUGUUUUCUCGGGCCUUAGUGUUUUGAUUCUUGAGCGUUUGACAAAUGCUUCACAAAUGAAGCUCAUAUUAACAAUUUCAGAGGUGUAGGUUGGUCUGCAGCUCAUGUGGGCGGAGGAGAAGCAUGCUUCAGUCUGUCCCACAGAAGUUGUUGCCGCCAUCCUCGCUGCCACCGUCGGAGACGAAACUUGGUGGUUGCACCGAUUCAGGAAUCACACGGAUGAAUGGAAUCCAACAGAACCAAUGGAAAUUGAAGAGGAGCAGACACAGGAAGCAAAGAAGGGGGGAAAGGAGAAGUUGCUCAAGAAGAAGUUGGAGGGUCAUGAUCAUACACAUAAAAAAUAUGUGAUGGAUACAUGGAGUUUUGCGGAUAACCUAAAUUACUGUGCCUUUUUCCAACUUUUUGUUUGAAUUAAUAUGCAGUACAACCAUUGCCAAAGUAUACCGAUCAACAGAUCAGCUUCUAAAUCAUUCGUCCAAUUUUGAUUCUCUAUGACCGGUUCAGUUAGAUGACGACUUACAUAUUUUACAUAUAAAUGGGCUGACCAUUCAUCUUUUGCACCUC